CCUACGGGAGGCAGCAGUGAGGAAUAUUGGUCAAUGGGCGGAAGCCUGAACCAGCCAAGUAGCGUGCAGGAUGACGGCCCUACGGGUUGUAAACUGCUUUUAUACGAGGGUAAACGCAGAUACGCGUAUCUGUCUGAAAGUAUCGUACGAAUAAGGAUCGGCUAACUCCGUGCCAGCAGCCGCGGUAAACAGGAGGAUUCAAGCGUUAUCCGGAUUUAUUGGGUUUAAAGGGUGCGUAGGCGGUCGGAUAAGUUAGAGGUGAAAUCCCGGGGCUCAACUUCGGAAUUGCCUCUGAAACUGUUCGGCUAGAGAGUAGUUGCAGUAGGCGGAAUGUAUGGUGUAGCGGUGAAAUGCUUAGAGAUCAUACAGAACACCGAUUGCGAAGGCAGCUUACCAAGCUACUUCUGACGUUGAGGCACGAAAGCGUGGGGAGCAAACAGGAUUAGAUACCCCUGUAGUC
rnacentral:rRNA from 1 species